CGGAGCAUGUGGUUUAAUUCGAAGCAACGCGAAGAACCUUACCAGGGCUUGACAUGCCGCUGACCGGUGCAGAGAUGCAUCUUUAUCCUUCGGGGUACAGCGGACACAGGUGGUGCAUGGUUGUCGUCAGCUCGUGUCGUGAGAUGUUGGGUUAAGUCCCGCAACGAGCGCAACCCUUGUCUUUAGUUGCCAUCAUUAAGUUGGGCACUCUAAAGAGACUGCCGAUGACAAAUCGGAGGAAGGUGGGGAUGGCGUCAAAUCAUCAUGCCCUUUAUGUCCUGGGCUACACACGUGCUACAAUGGUCGGUACAACGAGAAGCAAGCCAGCGAUGGCAAGCAAAUCUCUAAAAGCCGAUCCCAGUUCGGAUUGCAGGCUGCAACUCGCCUGCAUGAAGUCGGAGUUGCUAGUAAUCGCGGAUCAGAAUGCCGCGGUGAAUGCGUUCCCGGGUCUU
rnacentral:rRNA from 2 species